AUGGCUAAGUUUUCCUUCAUGUCAAUAAUCGUCCUAACCUUCAUUUUCUCAGUUAUGGCAACGACAACUGAUGCAAAAGAAUGUGUUGCAUCUCGUGAAGGUCAAUGCCUUCUUGCAUCAUGUGGACAAUGGUGUUUUCAAGCAUAUAAAGGUCAUGGAACAUGUGUUAGUGGAAGUGGAGAUCCCUCUACUUAUAAAUGUGUUUGCGUAUAUAAUUGUUCAACCUAG